GGCCCGUUAGCUCAGUUGGUUAGAGUGUCGUGCUAAUAACGGGAAGGUCGCGGGUUCGAUCACCUCACGGGCCA
rnacentral:tRNA from 1 species